AUUCAUUAAAGGGAGUGAAGCGUAUUGAUUAUGAGCUCGGCCUUCCAAAGAUGAGAGCAUUUCCCGGCCGCAUGUGCAGUGAAGAAUCAGGCUUGCAAUCAGUCAGGUCCCGACCAGUAACCAUCUGGUAAGGGGAAGUGUGGUGACAUCUUGCUUUUUUGGGAGGGAAGUGACAGCCCUGGAGUUUUUAGGGGCCAGCUGCCAUCGUCAGGCUAGGCUGCAGUGUCAGUGUUCCGGCGGCCCCGCUGAGUUUAUCACAACACCCCUCCCCUGGUGUGGUCAGGUGUCGUCAGUGGCUGCUGACUGUGACGGUGUACC
rnacentral:lncRNA from 1 species